AAGAUGCUGUUCGGCUCAUCGUGGAGUCGUCGUCGUCAUCGGUUCUCGACUCGGUUUUGGAUCGCCACCCCAGUUUUUCACUGGCUGUCGCCCGAAACGGUCACAUUCAGCGUGUAAGCGCGUCGAUUUCCGGCGGUUUGUUUUGUUUCGUUUCGUUCACGUGAACCCCGGACUCGAGGGGUAGGACACAGAAUUUGAUUUUUCUUUCCUUUUUGCGUUGGGAUGCUGUACGAUGAUAAAGCACGAAAAUAUCGAUUUGUCGUCCAAGUGUCCUAGACUGUGAGAGUGUCUGGAACGUGUUGUUGACGCGACGUUCAGUGAAAAAUUAAAGUGAUGAGUUCACACAAAAUGAGUGUCAGAAGAGAAUGCGUGAUUGAUGAGUGGCAGUGUAGAUUCUGGAAGAAAGGAGGCAUCAAAAGCGCAGACAUGGUAAAUCAUUGUUUCCUCUCCACUGAGCGAGGGCCGACUGGAAAUUAUCACUCACGAACAAAUCACAAGUAUCGGCGAUUUUACAUCGCCAUCAAACGAGGGCGAAUGAAAUCUGACGCUGAAGGGGAUUGAACUACGCAGAAAUCGAUGCAACUGGAAUAAAAAUUGAAUAAUGUUACGAUUAUGGCUGCCGAUCCCGAUGAUGCUAUGAGACGCGGGUUCGAUUCCCGCCUUAUCCACUGAGCUUCUAUCGGAUGGUGAAGUAAAACGUCGGUCCCGGUUUCUCCUGUCUCGUCAGAGGCGCUGGAGCAGAAAUCCCACGUUAGAGGAAGGCCAUGCCCCGGGGGGCGUAGUGCCAAUAGUUUCGUUUUUUUUUUCGUUUUACGAUUAUGGCAGGCUGGUGAAGGAAUACCCUAUCUACCAUCAGCUGACGGCAUGUCAGGUGAAGAAAUGAGUGCGCAUGCGUCAGAAUUCAGGAUUGCACUGUUUGACAGCUGAACGGAUUCCACCACUGCAAGCUGCAACUGGAUACACAAUAUGAUGGAUUUUUAAAAGAUGACAUGCGACGACGAGUGUCGGUUCCACAAUCAUAAAACAAAUUAAAUAAAUAAAAAUCAAUUAUAAAAACA